GAAGUAGGCAGGUCUGUCGCCUCGUUAGUUUUAGCGGGGAGGAAAGUCCGGACAACACAGGGUGCUGCACUCUUGAAAUAAGAGAUGUUCGUGAGGCAUGAAGGCAAAGAAGAAAAUAACCGCCCAAGUUUAUCUUGUGGUAAGGAUGAGAAGGUAGAGUAAGAGCCUACCAGUGAUAAUGGCAACAUUAUCAGCUGUUUGCCCUGCAGGUUGCAAGACCAUGUAUAUCGGCGUUUUAAAGCUACCCGCUUGAGCCGAGGGGUAGGUCGCAUAGAUAAAUGACAGACGGCAUACUAUAUGUUACAGAAUCCGGCUUAUAUGCCUACUUCUAUU
rnacentral:RNase_P_RNA from 1 species